GCAGCCCCAGGUUUGUACAAACCAGUUCAGGUCAGCCCCGCUAGCCUCCGUCUCCAGGGCCGGCCACUCCUCUGCAGCAGCGGGAAGAGGCACCCUGCGCAAUGGGGAAAUGCAUGCCCCUGCCUACGCGCAGCUGGGAUUCUUGGCCAUUCCGGACUGGUCUCCACAGGUCCUGUAUCCCUCCGGGAUCAGCGCCCCUCCAGCCCAGGCUGUUCAACCCAAAUCCAUCUGCUGCUGCUCAAGACUUUUUGAUCGUUUGCUUUUCUCUUCAUUGGCUGGAGCCUCCACUGGAGAGUGAUCCGGACAGGGCUGUGAAGUCCCCAUUUCGGUGCAGAGUCCGUUGCAAGUGACAUUGUGAAGUAGGCAAAACUAUGCCUUUGAGUGACAUUGUGAAGUUGGCAGAGGGUGCCCUAGGUGACAUUGUGAAGUAGGCAAAAGGUAUUUUAUUCAUUCAAUAAGCAUUUAUUGAGCCCAUCUUGUGGGUCAGGUACCAGUGGUUUUAGAACAAGAGCAUGCCCUGCCACAGCCAAGAAGGGACAAAGCCAUGCAAAUACACAGUAAUGGCCCCAGAGUGCAAGAGCAGUGACGCUGCAAUUCGAAUAUGCCAAAGAGAAGCUGUAAAGUGCUUCCUUUAAGUGAAAAGGUGAACGUUCUCUACUUAAUGAGGAAAGAAAAGAGUCACAUGCUGAGAUUGCCGAGAUCUAUGGGAAGUGUCCAUCUUGUAUUUGUCUAAUUGUGAAGAAGGACAAAGAAAUUCUUGCUCAUUUUGCUGUCGCACCUCAAACUCAAAAGUUACAGCCACAGUGCAUGGUUUUGGAAGAGAAAAGGCCUUCAGGCAGAGGUAAAAGAAUCAGAUUUCAAGAAAUUUUCGAGACUUGGGGCCAUUAAAGAAUUGUCCUGAUGCCAGAUGACAGCAGGAGCUAUGGAGUGAGGAUUCAAAGCUUGGCAGAGACCAUGCUUCUAUAAUUCCCCACGCCCAGUUCCUGAAAUAAGAAGAGAUGUUCCUAAGUGAGUGACCAAGAAUGUUCAUGUCACAACCUCAUCUCCGUGCAGAAAAAUCUCCUUGUGCAAGACACUGAGGCAGAUAGAUUAUACACCUCCAGACUCCAAGAAAGGACUCUUGCUGCAUAUUAGUUCUCAACCUGUAAAUCAGGAGAUAAUUUAUUCUAUUACCAUUUGAUUUUCUGCUUUUCCAGGAGAUGGAAAAGACAACGUU